UAUCCAGCCCAUUCAAUUUUCUCUGCGACUUCAGAGCAAUUUUCUUUUGGAGUGAUAAUAAUAUUGCGGACAAUUUCUGGAAUGAGACAGAGUCAAGGCAAAUUAUAGAUGUUCUCGAGGAAUACAUAUUUUGUGACUUAGUGAUUUAUAAAUUGCCUCGAUUAAUGAAGACAUUGCAUUUCGAAGAAAAAUAUAUAAGACAUAUGCCAGGAUGUUUUAAAAAUAUUUACCAACUCUUAUGUAUCACACCGUAGCUAGAAGACUCGGCAUACAUACCAUUAUGACGAUAUAUAGAGCAGUAGCUAUUGCAGUUAUAUGGAAACCAGAAUAUAAUAUAAAGAGUUGGAAUAAUGCGGAGUACUUUUAUAUGAACCAUAACUCCAAUUUACCGUAUCCAUCAAACAUUGUCAGAAAGAGAUGUCAGAAUAAUGAACAUCAACUAAAUUUGUCGGAGCCAAUAGAUUAUAUAUGUGAUUUAGGUAUAAUCACGCUGUACAUUACGGGUGGAAAUUUAACAUCUUCAACAGUUUUCUUGUUUCUUGCACUUUUAGAAAUGUUGAGAGCAUAGAUAUUGAAGUUGAAUAUAAAAAUAUUACAAAGUCAAUAAAGAUUAAAUCUGACAAGAAACGCUUUACAAAACGGACAAAGAAUAUUAAGUUUGCCGUUGGAAUGAUCGUGAGGCAUACACGGGACGAUUAUUCCUCUAUCAAUAAGCAUGACGGUGUGAUCAUUGGAUGGCAUUGUACGUGUAAGAGAAUAUUGAAUGCUGUUAUGUUCCCAUUUCUAUAUCAAAUCUCCAAUUAUCAUCACAUUUUUAAAUGUC